rnacentral:rRNA from 6 species
CGUUAAGUAGACCGCCUGGGGAGUACGGCCGCAAGGUUAAAACUCAAAUGAAUUGACGGGGGCCCGCACAAGCGGUGGAGCAUGUGGUUUAAUUCGAUGCAACGCGAAGAACCUUACCUGGUCUUGACAUCCACAGAAGAAUCCAGAGAUGGAUUUGUGCCUUCGGGAACUGUGAGACAGGUGCUGCAUGGCUGUCGUCAGCUCGUGUUGUGAAAUGUUGGGUUAAGUCCCGCAACGAGCGCAACCCUUAUCCUUUGUUGCCAGCGGUUAGGCCGGGAACUCAAAGGAGACUGCCAGUGAUAAACUGGAGGAAGGUGGGGAUGACGUCAAGUCAUCAUGGCCCUUACGACCAGGGCUACACACGUGCUACAAUGGCGCAUACAAAGAGAAGCGACCUCGCGAGAGCAAGCGGACCUCAUAAAGUGCGUCGUAGUCCGGAUUGGAGUCUGCAACUCGACUCCAUGAAGUCGGAAUCGCUAGUAAUCGUGGAUCAGAAUGCCACGGUGAAUACGUUCCCGGGCCUUGUACACACCGCCCGUCACACCAUGGGAGUGGGUUGCAAAAGAAGUAGGUAGCUUAACCUUCGGGAGGGCGCUUACCACUUUGUGAUUCAUGACUGGGGUGAAGUCGUAACAAGGUAACCGUAGGGGAACCUGCGGUUGGA